rnacentral:lncRNA from 1 species
ACAAACCCAGGAUAGUUUACGAAAGUUAUUCAAAUUUUAAAAACUUUAACCACAGAGUGAAUGUAAUGUUUACCGGCAGAAAAACUAAGUCCAUUUAUAAGUAAAAUACUGAAAAAAUGGAAUUUUAUUUUUACAAAAUUCUCUUCUGGAUACUAUCUUAUGAUCAUAAACCAGCUUCUGUCCAAGUUUGGUAGAAAUCCAGUAUAGUUUAAGAAAGUUAUUAAAAUUUUAAAAACUUUAACCACAGAGUGAAUAUUUGUGGACGCCGCCGACGACGACGCCGACACCGACG